rnacentral:rRNA from 1 species
GGAGUUCCUGAGUAGCACGGGACACGUGAAACCCCGUGUGAAUCUGCGCAGACCACUGCGUAAGGCUAAAUACUAACUAGCGACCGAUAGUGAACCAGUACCGUGAGGGAAAGGUGAAAAGUACCCCUGUGAGGGGAGUGAAAUAGAACCUGAAACCCUAUGCCUACAAGGUGUUAGAGCCCUUUCGAGGGUGAUAGCGUGCCUUUUGCUUAAUGAGUCUGCGAGUUACCGUCUGUGGCAAGCUUAAGAUCUUCUGGAUCGUAGGCGUAGCGAAAGCAAGUCCGAAUAGGGCGACCCUAGUUGCAGGCGGUAGACCCGAAACGGAGGUGACCUACCCAUGGCCAGGUUGAAGCUUAGGUGAUACUAAGUGGAGGACCGAACCGGUGUGUGUUGAAAAACGCUCGGAUGAGCUGUGGGUCGGAGUGAAAGGCUAAUCAAACCCCGUGAUAGCUGGUUCUCCUCGAAAUGCAUUUAGGUGCAGCGUUGCGUGUUGAUGAGUGGGGGUAGAGCACUGACAGGGCUAGGGGGCAUACCCGCCUACCAACCCCUAUCAAACUCCGAAUACCAUUCAAUAGAGCGCAGCAGUGAGACGGCGGGGGAUAAGCUUCGUCGUCGAGAGGGAAACAGCCCAGAUCAGCAGCUAAGGUGCCUAAAUUGUGCUCAGUGGAAAGGAGGUGAGGUUUCAUAGACAGUGAGGAUGUUGGCUUAGAAGCAGCCACCAUUUAAAAAAUGCGUAAUAGCUUACUCAUCGAGAGACCUUGCGCCGAAAAUACUUGGCGAUAAGCACAAUACCGAAGCUCUGGGUGUCCUAGUUUACUAGGGCGCGGUAGAGGAGCAUUCUCUGUGCAGUGAAGGGUGAUGGCGACUGACCCUGGAGCGCAGAGAAGUGAGAAUGCAGACAUGAGUAACGAUAAGAGCGGUGAAAUCCCGCUCCGCCGUAAAUCCAAGGUUUCCCGGGCAACGUUUUUCGUCCCGGGGUUAGUCGGGACCUAACCCGAGGCCGAUGGGCGUAGGGGAUGGUAAGCAGGUUAAUAUUCCUGCACCCAGUAAGGAGGACGCAUAAUGAAAAGCUACUAGGUUAUUGAAUUCCGAGGCGAGGCUUAGGCCGGACCGUAUAGCUGGACAGAGUGCCAAGAAAAGCCCUUACAUUAAUGGCCCGUACCGUAAACCGACACAGGUGGAUGGGUAGAAUAUACCAAGGCGCAAGAGUGAAACCUGGUCAAGGAACUCGGCAAAAGUAUGGGUCACAGAAAAUUUUUGUUUAUUGUCUCUACUCGUUUAGUUCACCACUUCCCCUU